rnacentral:rRNA from 1 species
AGAGUUUGAUCAUGGCUCAGGAUGAACGCUAGCGACAGGCUUAACACAUGCAAGUCGAGGGCAGCGAGAAAGUGCUUGCACUUUUGUCGGCGACCGGCGCACGGGUGAGUAACACGUAUGAACCUGCCCUUGUCAGGGGGAUAAGCGGGGGAAACCCCGUCUAAUACCGCAUAUAUGAUUGGAGGCAUCUUUAAAUCAGGAAAGAAUUAUCGGACAAGGAUGGGCAUGCGGGACAUUAGGAGUUGGGGGUGUAACGGACCACCAAGCCGACGAUGUCUAGGGGUUCUGAGAGGAAGGUCCCCACACUGGUACUGAGACACGGACCAGACUCCUACGGGAGGCAGCAGUGAGGAAUAUUGGCAAUGGGCGAGAGCCUGAACCAGCCAAGUCGCGUGAGGGACGACGGUACUAAGUAUUGUAACCUCUUUUGUCAGGGAACAAAGAGACCACGUGUGGUAAGAUGAGUGUACCUGAAGAAAAGCAUCGGCUAACUCCGUGCCAGCAGCCGCGGUAAUACGGAGGAUGCGAGCGUUAUCCGGAUUAUUGGGUUUAAAGGGUGCGUAGGCGGUAUAGCAAGUCAGCGGUUAAAUGUCGGGGCUCACCUCGGCCUGCCGUUGAAACUGUUGUACUAGAGAGAAUGAGAAGUAUGCGGAAUGCGUGUGUAGCGGUGAAAUGCUUAGAUAUCACGCAGAACUCCGAUUGCGAAGGCAGCAUGCCGGCUUUAUCUGACGCUGAGGCACGAAAGCGUGGGGAUCGAACAGGAUUAGAUACCCUGGUAGUCACGCAGUAAACGAUGAAUGCUAGAUGUUCGAUGGGAUUAACUGUUGAGUGUCACAGCGAAGCGUUAAGCAUUCC